UACGGAGGGGGCAAGCGUUGUCCGGAAUUAUUGGGCGUAAAGAGCGUGUAGGCGGUUUGGUAGGUCCGCUGUGAAAACUCGAGGCUCAACCUCGAGACGCCGGUGGAAACCAUCAGGCUAGAGUCCGGAAGAGGAGAGUGGAAUUCCUGGUGUAGCGGUGAAAUGCGCAGAUAUCAGGAGGAACACCGAUGGCGGAGGCAGGUCUCUGGGCCACUACUGACGCUGAGACGCGAAAGCAUGGGGAGCGAACAGG
rnacentral:rRNA from 1 species